rnacentral:rRNA from 1 species
AACCUGCCUGUAAGACUGGGAUAACUUCGGGAAACCGAAUCUAAUACCGGAUAGGAUCUUCUCCUUCAUGGGAGAUGAUUGAAAGAUGGUUUCGGCUAUCACUUACAGAUGGGCCCGCGGUGCAUUAGCUAGUUGGUGAGGUAACGGCUCACCAAGGCAACGAUGCAUAGCCGACCUGAGAGGGUGAUCGGCCACACUGGGACUGAGACACGGCCCAGACUCCUACGGGAGGCAGCAGUAGGGAAUCUUCCGCAAUGGACGAAAGUCUGACGGAGCAACGCCGCGUGAGUGAUGAAGGCUUUCGGGUCGUAAAACUCUGUUGUUAGGGAAGAACAAGUACGAGAGUAACUGCUCGUACCUUGACGGUACCUAACCAGAAAGCCACGGCUAACUACGUGCCAGCAGCCGCGGUAAUACGUAGGUGGCAAGCGUUAUCCGGAAUUAUUGGGCGUAAAGCGCGCGCAGGCGGUUUCUUAAGUCUGAUGUGAAAGCCCACGGCUCAACCGUGGAGGG